AUGGUUUUGUCUAUGAAGCACUGCAGAGAUCAGGCCCAGGAGGUGCCCUUGUCCCUCUCGCUCUCCCUCGGCGCCAUGGCCGACCGCACCAAGAAGCAGCGCCGCGGCGUCGCUGCCGGCGAGUUCGUGUGCAAGACGUGCAGCCGCGCCUUCCCGUCGUUCCAGGCGCUGGGCGGGCACCGGACAAGUCACCUGCGCGGCCGCCACGGGCUCGCGCUCGGCCUUGCCGCCGGGAUCAAUGAGCCGUCGUCGACCAAGAAGACGGUGGACCAGAAGCAGGCGCACCAGUGCCACGUCUGCGGGCUUGAGUUCGAGAUGGGCCAGGCGCUCGGCGGCCACAUGCGCCGGCACCGCGAGCAGGAGUCCGCCACCACGGCGCAGGCACCGCCCGUUCUGCUCCAGCUCUUCGUCUAG
rnacentral:rRNA from 1 species